AUUUGCGGCAAAUAAAAGUGACCAUUUUUAUAGUUUACUUUUUUUUGAAUUUUAGAGUUUAGGUUCAUUUUGUGAACUCUUUCUUGGAAUCUUCGUGGAGAGAACAUUUAUCAUCCCCCAAUUUCCACACCUACGAGCUUGAGGGCAAUGAGGUUGUUGUUUUGGGAGGUUCAAAGGUGAGGGGGAGCUGUUUGGGAUGGCGGUCGGUAAUGGAAGAUGAGAGUGAUGAAGCCCGGGUGUACUGGUGAUGUUGGUGGUGAAGAUGGGAGCCUCGAGUGAUAGAGAGAGAAUGGUGAAAAGGCCCCUGGGUUAGCUCAGAGAUGAAAUUUGCUGCUAUUGCUGCCUCUAAUUUCCACCCCUAUGCUCAUAUACUUGCUUUUCUAGUUUCUUUGUGGGUAUUGGACGAUAUAUUUUCUGAUUUUUAACACCAGAUUGAGAUAUUCUUCUCCUUUCAUACAUACUCAUGUUGUCCUUACCUUCAACUUCUUCCUCCAUUUCUAAAAAGAAAUAUGAUGUUUUCUUGAGUUUUAGUGGUGAAGAUACUCGCAACAACUUCACAGAUCAUGUUUAUGAUGCUACAACUAAUAGAAAAGUCAACAAUAUUAAUUAUAUGUCUAACUAAUAACAUUAUAAAAAUAUAUGAUUAAAUUAGGUUAGAAAUUAAAUCUUAAAUUUAGGCAUAAUUAAAAAAAAAAACUAAAAUUGAAAUUCUAACAUUUUCUUAUAAUGUAAAAGAAACAAUAUCCUAUACAUUAAAUUAAUAAAUUGUAUUCAUACAUAAAAUUUUAUGAUACUGAGUAGAUAUAAGUUAUUUUAGUCUGCACCUAAUGAACAUUUUAGAUGCUUCAAAUAGAACUUAAUCAUAUAAAAGGCAAAAUGUGAGGGACCGAAUUUAAAAUAACGCAUUGUCCUCCCUGACAGGUGUCUCCAAAUACUUCUUUAAUAUAUAGUUAUAUAGACAAUUAUAUGAUUAUGUAAAUGAAAGUAAAAGACAAACCGUCCAACACUCUACUUAUUACUUAGAAUUAUUGUAGGCUCCAUUUUGUCUACACCCACCUUCUUGGAUUCUUCCUGGAAAGAACAUGCAUCACCCAAUGUCCACACCUACUCGUAUUCAUUUCGAAAAUGAAAAGGUUAAAAAGAUUAAAAGAAAUUGCUUAGAAACUUCCUUUAUUCUUCCCUGAAAUUUUCAUCUGUUUUUCUCAAUCUUCACUUUCAUAUACUUACUGUUUCUAAUUUCUUUCUGGCGUAUUGAGCGAUCAAUUUUCUGAUUUUGAACACUACAUCCACAUAUGUAUUUUUCUUCUCAAACAUCGUCAUGUUGUCAUUACCUUCAUCUUCCUCAUACAUUUCUAGAAAGAAAUAUGAUGUUUUCUUGAGUUUUAGAGGUGAAGAUACUCGCAAAAACUUCACCGAUCAUCUCUAUGCUGCUCUAAAGAGGAGUGGGAUCGUCACUUUCAGGGAUGAUCCCAAGCUGGAGGCCGGUGAAGAGAUCGCGCCAGAACUCUUUAAAGCAAUUCAGCAAUCAUGGUGCUCGGUAAUUGUUUUUUCAGAAACUUAUGCCUUUUCAAGUUGGUGCUUGGAGGAGCUUGCUGAGAUUGUUCAACAACAUAACAACGACGGCCAUAAAGUGUUUCCAAUUUUUUACGAUGUUGAUCCAUCUGAUUUAAGAAAACAAAAAGGGAAAGUGGAAGAAGCCUUUGCCAGACAUGAAGAGAGAUACAAAGAAGAAAGUGAGAAGAUCCAAAGGUGGCGAAAUGCUUUAAUUCAAGUGGCUGCAAUCAAGGGAUGGCAUUUAAAUAACAGGUAAUUCUUUCUUUUCUUCUCUAUUUUCUAGUUUUUUGGAUAUAUAUAUAUAUAUAUAUAUAUGUAUGUGUAACUAUUUUUUUUUUCCUAAUCCUAUGUGUUUAAUUGAAAAGUGUCAUAUUUAGCAAAUUUUGUCUUCUGGCUCCGCAACAGAUCUUGCUUUCUUAUUCUUGGUUCUUGUUUGCUUCCAAACUAUAUUAUGUUUCAUGAUUCAUUGAAAAGAAAAGUGCAUUCGAAACAUAUCAACAAAAUUUUACUCAAAACAUUAAAAUUUCUUUUUUUUAGGCAUGAAUCAGAAAUUAUUAGAGACAUUGUUAAGAAGAUAUCAGCAAAACCAUGUCAGACAUAUCCAGUUACUCAUAGCGACUUGGUUGGUAUUAGUGAACGCUUGGAGGAUUUGUAUUUGAAAAUAAACAUUGGGGAAGAUGAUGUCCGCGUUAUAGGAAUUUGCGGAAUGGGUGGCAUCGGUAAAACGACACUCGCAAGAGUUGCUUACACUCAAAUGUCACCUCAUUUUGAAGGUAAAAGCUUUAUUUCUGAUAUUCGAGAAGUUUCAGACAAAUGCGGACUAGUUUCUUUACAGAAACAACUUCUUUCACAGAUCUUUCAUGGUGAAUGCUUCAACUUUUUCGAUGUUCAUGAAGGGAGUGACAUAAUUAGCCAUAGGUUGUCUCACAAAAAGGUUCUUGUUGUUCUUGAUAAUGUUGAUAACAUACAACACUUAAAAUGCUUGGUAGGAAGGCACGAUUGGUUCGGAUUAGGAAGUAGAAUCGUUGUAACAACAAGAGAAGAACAUUUGCUUCGGUCUUGGCCAGUUGAUGAUAUGUAUGAGCCCAAAACAUUGAAUCCCAAAGAUGCACUUCAACUUUUCAGUCUGAAAGCUUUUCAUAGUGAUACAGUGCAGAAAGAUGAUUUCAUUGAGCUUUCUGAACAUGUUGUAAAUUAUGCUGGUGGACUCCCUUUAGCUCUUGAAGUUUUGGGCUCCUUUUUGUGCGGUAGAGAUGCGACUCAAUGGAGAAGUGCGAUUGAAAGACUUAAAAGAGAUUCUGAUAAAGAAAUUCUCAAUAAACUUCGAAUCAGUUUUGAUGGACUGGAAGAAAGGGAGAAGGAUAUAUUUUUAGAUAUAGCAUGCUUCUUCAAUGGGGAGAGGAAAGAUUUUGUAAUAAAAGUAUUAGAUGGUUGUGAGUUUUUUCCUGAUAUCGGAAUUGAUGUUCUCAUUAAAAAAUCUCUCGUAAAAGUCGAUAAAUACAACAGAUAUUUGAAGAUGCAUGAAUUGUUGCAAGAAAUGGGAAGAACAAUUGUUAAAGAAAAAUGUGUUGAUGAACCUGGAAAACGUUGCAGAUUGUGGGAGGAAAGGGACGUCCAUCAUGUCCUAACAAAAUACACUGUAAGUCAUUCAAUAAAAGUUACAUACUAUUUCUUUUUUAUCCUACAUUAUUCACCAUUUAUUUUAUUUUCUUAUUGUCUGUUGUUGAUCUUUUUUAGGCUACAGAAAUGAUUAAAGGCAUAAUAUCGAUAAUAAAAGGUAAGAAGAUACACAUAAACUUAUAUCUAUGUGUACUGUAAAUAAUUAUUAUUUUUAAAUAUGAUAAAAAAAAUAUAGCAAAACUUUUGACAUUCAAUAUUUCAAUGUUUAAUUAUGAAAUUUAUCUAGCAACAUAUUUACUCUUUCAAAAGAAUCAAAAGAGAAAUGUAUGUAUUUUUGAAAUAUUAAUGGUAUAUUUUUUUGUGAAAAUUAAUGGUAUAUAUUUAAUGUACUAAAAGUGUAUAUCAACGAAUUAGAUUAUAACAUGUCAUCGAAAUUUUUUUAAUGAAAAUAGUUUCAUUUUUAAUUAUGUGUCAUUGUUUGGUUCAUUAACUUGUAAAUUAUGCUUUGUUUGCGGACCGAAUAUAAAUCAACAUAUUAAUUCAAUUUUUUAGGAUUAGGUAAUUUAACAUCGGAUGGGAUUAUUAGAUAUAAGUAUCUCUUUAAUAUGGCUAUGUUAAAAAAAUAUAUUUAAAAAUUGUUUUUAUUCACAUAUUUAAAAGGUUCUUAAAGGAUCAUAUCUUAAUACCCAUAUACGAAUAUGCAUUAGAUAUAAGUAUUGGAUACGAGUACUUAAAAAACAAUAUUGAUGUAACAUUUCUUUUAGAUAUUGAAUGUUUUUGUAUAUUUUGAAGCUCAUUUUUGUUUUGCUCAUGGAUAUUAGGGAAUCGAACAAGAUACUCAAUUUGAGUGUGGAUACCUUCUUGAAGAUGAAAAAAUUGAGAUUGCUUAAAGUGCUUUGCCUUUCAAAUUGUGAUGAUGAUCUCAAAUAUCUUUCUAAUGACCUACGACUUUUAGAUUGGACAGGAUACCCUUUAAGAAACUUGCCUUCAAGCUUUCAACCGGAUAACCUUGUCGCACUUCUUUUACCAUAUAGUCACAUUCAACAACUAUGGAAGGGAAAUAGAGUAAGAAUUAACUCAUCUUAUCCUUGUGUUUUAGCUUAUUUUAAUAUAAAUUAUUAAACUUUGAUUAAGGUAAAACAAAAAAACAAAAAUGAGCAUUAUUAUGUUUUCUCAUUUGUUUCUAAUUUAUUAUGGUCUUCAACAGCCCUUGUUUAACUUGAAAAUAAUGAACCUCAGAGGGUCUCAAAACCUGAUCAAGACACCAGACUUCACAACAGCAUCAAAUCUUGAGGUUUUGAUUUUGGAAGGUUGUACCAAAUUAGUGGAUGUUCAUCCAUCAAUCGGGGUGCUUAGGAGCCUUAAACUUUUGAAUUUAAGAGAUUGCAAAAGUCUUAGGACUCUUCCAACCAAAACUGGAAUGGAAUCUCUUGAAACAUUAAUUCUUUCGGGUUGCUCAAAUCUUGUAAGGUUUCCGGAUGUUGAAGGGAAAAUGGAACGCCUAAAAACUCUAGAUCUUUCCGGUUGUUAUAGAGUGGAAAAUUUAUCGGAGAAUUUGCAGCAAGCAAAGUUUUUGGAAGAGCUCGACUUGAGUGAAACAGCCAUAACAGAACCACCAUCCUUCAUUUUUCAAUUUAAAAAUCUUAAAGUUCUGUCUUUCAAUGGGCGCAAGGGACCAUCAUAUAAGUUACUACCAAAUUUGCCUUCUCUUGUCAAGGUAAUCCAAGGAAGAAGGACGAAUCCCAUGGCUCGGAUGUUGCCUUUGUUGUCAGGUUUGAGUUCAUUAAGAGAGUUGAAUCUAAGGGACUGCAAUCUUUGUGAAGGAGAUAUUCCACCUGAUAUUUCUGGUCUAUCCUGUUUGGAAGAACUUGAACUUAGCGGUAACAAUUUCAUCAGCAUACCUGCAUCUCUUACUCGACUCUCCAAGCUUAAAGAGCUUAUAUUGUCAAAUUGCAACAUGUGCACUCUUGGUGAAGCAGAUAUUCGUAGUGAUCUUUCUGGUCUAUACUCUUUGCUACGUCUUGAUCUUAGUGGUAAGAAUUUCAUCACCCUUCCUUUGGCUCUUACUCAACUUUCCAGGCUCAAAUUGCUUAAAUUGUCAGGUUGCAAGAUGCUUAAAUCAUUGCCUGAGCUACCAACAAGUAUAAGAUAUAUGAUAAUAGAUGAUUGUUCUUCACUUGAAGUAGUUGCAAGUCCAUCAAAAGUAUGCAAUUUAGCGGGUGGUGAUGAAAUUAGUGCCAUUAACUGCUUCAAAUUGGCUGAGAAAAUCAAUGCAUUAACACUGCUGAAAGAACAUAUUAAGGUCAAUUAAUCUAUUUUUUCUCCCUUAGAAAAUCUCAUACUUGAGAAUUUAUGGUUUUAGUUACCAAACGACUUGUGUUUAAUUUUGCAGGCGGUUCGAUAUCCAAGAGAUUGUUUUCAUAGUAGCAUCGUUGAUAUUAUGAUGCCCGGAAGUGAAAUCCCAGAAUGGUUUAGCCAACAAAAAAGUGACUCUUCAAUUAAGAUACCCCUACCUAUCAACCUUCGGAAAGAUAGUCAAUGGAUUGGAGUUGCUUGUUGCUGCAUUUUUGUCGAUAAUGGUGCUUCAAGGAAUAAGAUGCUUUACUGUGAUGGAUCUAUUUUUCGAGGUAGAAAUUGUCGACGAAUUUUUUGGAGCCUCGGGUGGGUAGGUCGAAGCUUUCACAAGCUCAUAAUGAAAGAUCACCUUUUUCUUCGUUAUUUUCUGCGUGAUGAAUUAUAUCCAAUUUCCUUGGAGGAUAAAUAUGGUGACUGUGAAACCAAUAAUUUAUGGACAGCAGAUUGCUUAGAUCAAACAGGCGAUAAGCUUCAGUUGUGUUUCAAUUCCAAAUUUGAACCAAAUGACCGUUGUGUUAAGGUGAAGAAGUGUGGUGUUAGAAUAGUGUAUGAGAAAGAUUUGGAAGAAAUGAAAGAGUUGCAGUGCCAUACCACUCAAUCUUCUCCAAAUUUUGAACACAUCCACCAACACUCUGCUCAAAACCAUGGAUCAGUAGGUAGCACUUCUCACAUGAAACGAAAAAUCAAGAGAGAAGCAUUAACUGUGGUAAACUACUUAACCAACUUUGUCCUAUUAAUUUUUUUUUUACACAUCUUGUAUUUCAUUUGAACAAUUAUUCUAGACUUGUUUUGCAUAUGCGAUAUGAUCCUUCCAUUAUAUGCCAAAACAUUUUAAAAUUUUAGCUACUUAUUUUUAUUGGAGAUCAACUUAUGUAUUCAAUUUAAUCAAUCAAAACUGUUUUUAUAUAUUUAGAAGAUUAAUUAUAAAUAGUUAAUAGUACUUAAAUAGAUUUAAUUCCUUCUAAUAAAGUAUCAUUUAAAUUUGAUGGCUUGAAGUACAAAUAACAUUAUUCCAACUCUUCAGUUUAUAUUUUUUUAGACAUCUAUGUAAACUUAUUUGCUUAUGAGAUAUAAUCCUUCUUAUAUAUAAAAAAUUUUUAAAUUUUUUAUUUAUACACAUAUUCAACAUGAGCUCAUAUUCUAUGCAUAUCCUAAAUGUUGAUAACAUAGUAUUUUUAGACCAUUUAAAAUUCUUCUUUAUGUUUAUGAUUUUUCUAUUUUUAAAAAAUUUAUGUAUUUUAAUAUUAUAUAAUUUUUUAAAUUAUGAUUGACUUUUUUUGGGUAAACUACAAAUAUAGUCACUUUUGUUUCACUCAGAUUACAUUUUAGUCACUUAUGUUUGAAAUGUUAUGUUUUAGUCACUUGCGUAUCGUUUUGUUACAAAGUGGUCACUCUACCAUUAAGCUUUGUUACCUCCCUAACGGCAAUCCUACGUGGCAGUCCAAAUGGGUUUUAAAUGCCAACUUGGAUGUCUAAUUGGUACAACAAUAGGUUUUUAAUUAAAUAAAUUUAAUUAAUUAAAAAUUUUAAAUUAAUUACAUGUUGAACUGGAAAAGAAAAAUCAUUCAUCUCUUUUUUCUUUUUAGUUUUCCUUUUCAUUUUAACUGAAAAAAUUAUUCUCAUCCUAGUUGGAAAUCCAAGUUGUCAUUUGAAACCCAUUUGGAUUGCCACGUAGGAUUGUCACUAGGGAGAUAACGGAACUUAACUGAAGAGUUCGUAACAAAACGAUAAUGUAAGUGGCUAAAACGUAGCAUUUCAAACAUAAAUGACUAAAAUAUAAUUUGCGGCAAAUAAAAGUGACUAUUUUUAUAGUUUACUUUUUUUUGAAUUUUAGAGUUUAGGUUCAUUUGUGAACUCUUUCUUGGAAUCUUCGUGGAGAGAACAUUUAUCAUCCCCCAAUUUCCACACCUACGAGCUUGAGGGCAAUGAGGUUGUUGUUUUGGGAGGUUCAAAGGUGAGGGGGAGCUGUUUGGGAUGGCGGUCGGUAAUGGAAGAUGAGAGUGAUGAAGCCCGGGUGUAUUGGUGAUGUUGGUGGUGAAGAUGGGAGCCUCG
rnacentral:lncRNA from 1 species